UACGUAGGUGGCAAGCGUUGUCCGGAUUUAUUGGGUUUAAAGGGUGCGUAGGCGGUUUUUAAGUCAGUGGUGAAAUACGUCAGCUUAACUGGCGAGGUGCCAUUGAUACUGGGGAACUUGAGUACUGAUGAGGUAGGCGGAAUGGACGGUGUAGCGGUGAAAUGCUUAGAUAUCGUCCAGAACACCGAUAGCGAAGGCAGCUUACUAAAGAGUAACUGACGCUGAGGCACGAAAGUGUGGGGAUCAAACAGG
rnacentral:rRNA from 1 species